AAGUACACGCAUAUAUUCAUAUGCAGAGACUGCGAACGGCUCAUUAAAACAGUUAUAAUCUACUUGACAUUUUUUUUUUUCUAUAAGGAUAACUACGGAAAAGCUGUAGCUAAUACUUGUUUUAUUACUCUCGACGAAUGUCUUGAGUAGGUACUUGUUAGCCUUUAUAAGAAAAAAGUUAAUAACUUAAGGAAUUAUAACAAAGAAGAGACACACAACAAAGAUUCAUCCCAAAGAGGUGUGUAUCAAUCGAGUUUCUGACCUAUCAGCUUUUGAUGUUAGGGUAUUGGCCUAACAUGGCUAUGACGGGUAACGGGGAAUUAGAGUUCGAUUCCGGAGAGGGAGCCUGAGAAAUAGCUACCACAUCUAAGGAAGGCAGCAGGCGCGUAAAUUACCCAAUUCUAAAGAAGAGAGGUAGUGACAAGAAAUAACAAUACAAGACCAAAACUGGUUUUGUAAUUGGAAUGAUGGGAAUUUAAAUUCUUCCCAUAAUACAAUUGGAGGGCAAGUCUGGUGCCAGCAGCCGCGGUAAUUCCAGCUCCAAUAGCGUAUAUUAAAAUUGUUGCAGUUAAAACGCUCGUAGUUGAAUUUCAAAGAACCGAUAUUUUAAUAAUGCUGUUAGCUAGAGCCACAAAAAGUUGAGCCAUCUCGGUUUCGGCUUUAUGUGCGCAUCUCUACCUAUCAAGUGUUUUUUUAAUUAAAGUGUUUCUUUUUAAAAUCUUCUCUAGCUAAAACAUAUGGAAGGUUUUGUUACUUUGAGUAAAUUAAAGUGUUCAAAGCAAACAGAUAUAGCAUUUCGCGUUUGAAUACUACAGCAUGGAAUAACAAAAUUGAACAAGUCAAAACUAUGUUCCUUUUUUCUUAUUUUUGGCUUAGUUACGAUUAAUAGGAGUAGUUUGGGGACAUUUGUAUUCAGAUGUCAGAGGUGAAAUUCUAAGAUUUUCUGGAGACAAACAACUGCGAAGGCAUUUGUCUAAAAUACUUCCAUUAAUCAAGAACGAAAGUUAAGGGAGUGAAGACGAUCAGAUACCGUCGUAAUCUUAACCAUAAACUAUACCGACUAGGUUUUGGAUGAAAGUAAAACAAAUAAGGAUAGUCUCUUCGGGGAUAGUCCUUAGAUUUCUUCCUUCAGUACCCUAUGAGAAAUCAAAGUCUUUGGGUUCUGGGGCGAGUAUUCGCGCAAGCGAGAAAGUUAAAAGAAUUGACGGAAGGGCACCACCAGGCGUGGAGCUUGCGGCUUAAUUUGACUCAACACGGGAAAACUCACUAGUUUAAAACAAGAGUAGGAUUGACAGAUUAAUAGCUCUUUCUUGAUUUCUUGGAUGGUGAUGCAUGGCCGUUUUUAGUUCGUGAAUAUGAUUUGUCUGGUUAAUUCCGAUAACGAACGAGAUCUUAACCUGCUAAUUAGCGGUAAGUACGACAUAUUUUUAUAUCGAAUUGGAUAUGUAUGAUUUGCUAAAUUGCGGUCGCAAAUAAUGAUGAUCCUGAUUGCUUUUCACGUCAGUGUUUUCCAGAAUCGUUGACGUGACUAGUAUAUUCUCGCUCCUUCUGUUCCC
rnacentral:rRNA from 1 species